rnacentral:tRNA from 1 species
GUUGUGGCUCAGUGGUAGAGUGCUUGCCUAGCAUGUGCAAGGCACUGGGUUCCAUCCCUGGCACUACA